rnacentral:rRNA from 1 species
UACGAAGGGGGCUAGCGUUGCCCGGAAUCACUGGGCGUAAAGCGCACGUAGGCGGAUUGCUAAGUCAGGGGUGAAAUCCUGGAGCUCAACUCCAGAACUGCCUUUGAUACUGGCGAUCUUGAGUCCGGGAGAGGUGAGUGGAACUGCGAGUGUAGAGGUGAAAUUCGUAGAUAUUCGCAAGAACACCAGUGGCGAAGGCGGCUCACUGGCCCGGUACUGACGCUGAUGCGUGAAAGCUAGGGGAGCGAACGGG